rnacentral:rRNA from 1 species
AUUGGACGCUGGCGGCACGCCUAACACAUGCAAGUCGAGCGGCAGCGCGAUAUGUAGCAAUACAUAUUGGCGGCGAGCGGCGGACGGGUGAGGAACACGUAGGAACCUACCCUCGAGUGGGGGAUAACCAAGGGAAACUUUGGCUAAUACCGCAUGAUUUCGAGAGAGCAAAGCUGCCGCAAGGUGGCGCUCGAGGAGGGGCCUGCGUCCGAUUAGCUAGUUGGUGAGGUAAGAGCUCACCAAGGCGAUGAUCGGUAACUGGUCUGAGAGGACGAACAGUCACACUGGGACUGAGACACGGCCCAGACUCCUACGGGAGGCAGCAGUGGGGAAUAUUGGACAAUGGGGGCAACCCUGAUCCAGCGAUGCCGCGUGAGUGAAGAAGGCCUUCGGGUCGUAAAGCUCUUUAGGUUGGGAAGGAGAGUGAUGGAGGAAAUGCUAUCACUUUGACGGUACCGACAGAAUAAGCACCGGCAAACUCUGUGCCAGCCGCCGCGGUAACAC